AAUGAACGCUAGCUACAGGCUUAACACAUGCAAGUCGAGGGGAAACGACAUCGAAAGCUUGCUUUCGAUGGGCGUCGACCGGCGCACGGGUGAGUAACGCGUAUCCAACCUGCCCACCACUUGGGGAUAACCUUGCGAAAGUAAGACUAAUACCCAAUGAUAUCUCUAGAAGACAUCUGAAAGAGAUUAAAGAUUUAUCGGUGAUGGAUGGGGAUGCGUCUGAUUAGCUUGUUGGCGGGGUAACGGCCCACCAAGGCUACGAUCAGUAGGGGUUCUGAGAGGAAGGUCCCCCACAUUGGAACUGAGACACGGUCCAAACUCCUACGGGAGGCAGCAGUGAGGAAUAUUGGUCAAUGGACGAGAGUCUGAACCAGCCAAGUAGCGUGCAGGAUGACGGCCCUAUGGGUUGUAAACUGCUUUUAUAAGGGAAUAAAGUGAGUCUCGUGAGACUUUUUGCAUGUACCUUAUGAAUAAGGACCGGCUAAUUCCGUGCCAGCAGCCGCCGCGG
rnacentral:rRNA from 1 species